UUGCAUCGAUGAAGAACGCAGCGAAAUGCGAUACCUAGUGUGAAUUGCAGAAUUCCGCGAAUCAUCGAGUUUUUGAACGCAAGUUGCGCCCGAGGCUCGUACCGAGGGCAUGUCUGUCUGAGCGUCCA
rnacentral:rRNA from 1 species